GCAACCGAUAGAGCGUUGCCCUCCGAAGGCAGAGGUCACAGGUUCGAAUCCUGUCGGGUGCG
rnacentral:tRNA from 1 species